rnacentral:lncRNA from 1 species
GAACACCUAAGGCCGAGGGCUGGCUUCAAACCUGAUCUUGUUCGCUCUCGCGAGCUCGUACUCCUUUUCGUUCGGCGCACAGGAUGGGAGGAAACUGAGUCUCCAAGUUACAAAUGGCUGUGUCCUGAGUUCAAGAAGCGAAGCUCGGGACUAGACAUGAUUUCAUGCCCAUGGCUCGCUCCCAAGCUGGAUCCAGCACCAGAAUUCAUGCCCCACCCCACCCCACCCCCGCCCUUCUGUACCAGGGAACCAGGCAGGCACUGGGGGACUAAAUCAGAGAGAACAGAAAAAAAGAAAAAAGAAGAAAAAAAGAAAAGAAAAAGGAAGACAAGCAAGGGUAGGAAACAAAGACAGAGGUAG